rnacentral:rRNA from 1 species
AGGACACGCUGGCGGCGUGCCUAACACAUGCAAGUCGGACGGAUCAGGUAUGACAGCUUGCUGUAGUGCCUGGUUAGUGGCGCACGGGUGCGUAACGCGUGGGAAUCUGCCCUUGGUUCGGAAUAACUCAGAGAAAUUUGAGCUAAUACCGGAUGAUGACGAAAGUCCAAAGAUUUAUCGCCCAGGGAUGAGCCCGCGUAAGAUUAGCUUGUUGUGGGGUAAUGGCCUACCAAGGCGACGACUUUAGCUGGUCUGAGAGGAUGAUCAGCCACACUGGGACUGAGACACGGCCCAGACUCCUACGGGAGGCAGCAGUGGGGAAUAUUGGACAAUGGGCGCAAGCCUGAUCCAGCAAUGCCGCGUGAGUGAUGAAGGCCUUAGGGUUGUAAAGCUCUUUUACCAGGGAUGAUAAUGACAGUACCUGGAGAAUAAGCUCCGGCUAACUCCGUG